AUUGAACGCUGGCGGCAGGCCUAACACAUGCAAGUCGAGCGUGCGGCGGACGGGUGAGUACUGUAUGGGGACUGCCCGAUAGCGGCGGAUAACUACUGGAAACGGUAGCUAAUAACGCAUACUAUCGGAUAACCCAUAUGGGAUUAGCUGGUAGGUGGGGUAAUGGCGCACUUAGGAGAAGAUCCCUAGCUGGUCUGAGAGGAUGAUCAGCCAAACGGGGACUGAGACACGGCCCAGACUCCUACGGAGGCAGCAGUGGGGAAUAUUCGACAAUGGGCGCAAUCCGGAUGCAGCCAUGCGGCUUGUAUGAAGAAGGCCCUAGGGUUGUAAAGUACUUUCAUUCGGGAGGCGUUACCGACAGAAGAAGCACCGGCUAACUCCGUGCCAGCAGCCGCGGUAAUUC
rnacentral:rRNA from 1 species